GGCGCGCAUGCGCAGCGGCGCCGGGGCUGCCGGCGCCAUUUUGUGCGCGGCUCCUGCCCAUUUUAGGCGGCCGCGGGGCGGGGGGAGGCGGCGGCGCCGCGGGGCCGGGCCCGGCUCGGCCCUCACAUGGCGGCCGCGGGGCCCCCUCAGCGCCCCGGGGCCUCGUCACGGAGCGGUUUCGGCGUCUCCUCGGCGGUUGGCGGCGCAGCGGGGAGGCUGCCGGGGAAGGGGAGCGGCGGUGGUGGUGAUGGUGCUGCCUCUGGUGGCGGCCGCCGGGCUGUGAGGCGGCUGCAGGAAGCAGCAGGCAAAGAGACAGUUCUCUACUGAGCUUAAGUGCCACUUAAUACAGCAGAAAAACUCUGUCCACCUGGGUGUAUCUGUUGCAGCUGGCGUGCCUAGGAAGCUCUUGGCACAUCAUCCAUCUAACUACUGUGAGCAAGCUUUUUUUUCCUAUGUAGUUAGUCAUCAGAGGAGGUGACUUGUUCUUUUAUGGCAUUUAAAGUACCUCAGAAUGUCAAGCUAGGCAGCACACCAGAGAGCAUAAACAUUCACACGCAGCUUGGGGAUGAUGUCUGGUAUAAUGGAAUGAAAAAGCUGUGCUUUUGGCACACCGGAGACAACUCCUGUUUUUGGUUUAAAGUAACUUUUCAUUGAAACGUGAACUUCUGAACUCAGAGCAGGACUAUGAUAUUGAGGUUUUGCAUCUAAAAGUAUGUCAGUGUGAAGUAGCCCUUGAGAAUUAAAUAUAGCCUGGCUAUACUGUAUCCUUGCAGUUGUGCCCCUUCCCCCCAGCGUGUGAUCUCUUACAGGGAAACAGUUGACAGGAGUGGAAAAAAUGAGCAGCAGUUUUCUGGUGCGAGCCACUUUAACUUUACAAAGCUAACACUUGCUUUUGAGUUACAGUAUGAAACAAUCAGUAGGAGUUUUUAUCUAAUCUCUCUGUAAAUAGAUGUGAUAAAAGAAAUAAAAAUAUUUAACAUCAUUGUUCAAAGCAGGGGCACUUGUAUUCUGUGUGCUUUGUUAACACCAAAGGCCUUGUGGGACAGAACAAUCACCUUCUGGGGGUGUGUUUUGCUCGUAAUUCAUGCAAAACAACACUGAGGCAUCAAGAUACUCUAAAUGCAUAACUGGUCUUGAUGGCUCAGUCCUAGAAGUAAAUUAGAAAAGAUAAUGUACUUCAAAUUUCCUUGGUGUUGUAGUUGCAGAACUCACAGGGAAGUUGUUCAGCCUUGCAUAUAUGUGGCAUUCAGUAGGAAAAAGCAAAUACAGUAAUUUGUGUCUUGCAAUUUCCUUAGUACUAUGAGUAGCAUCUUAAUAUUUUUUUGAGUGUGGAUUCCUUAGGAAAAGGGAGUAUAAUGAGAAGAGAUUUCUGGGAUAAGUAAGGUGUCUUAUUACUUCAGUAGUCAGACACUGCUCUCAAUGUACUGCAUUUACAUAUAAUUAGAAAGUCAGAAUAUGUAUACAAUCACGGCCAAAACAUUUAAAGAGUAUUAAAAAUACCGAUUCUUGUUCUAAAUUGAGCUUCUCUGUAUAUAAUGAAACGCUAUGUUACUUUGUUCAACUUCACAGAUGUUCAGGGACUGCCAGCUUCUUUUACUUUUUGUUUCUAGUGUUUAGUUCUCCUUUUUUAGAUGCCCUUCCCCUUGGUGUUUCUGUGCUGCCAGUAAAUAGGCGAUAUUUUUCCAGCAGUGGUUGAGCAAGCAUCUGCCUUGUGGUUCAGAACCUGUCUGUGUGGAACUGCUGAAUUUCUGCACGAAUGAAGGUCAAAUGUGUGCUCUAUCUGACUCUGGAACUGGCUCAAAAGAGUGUGUCAAGGAGUUCUGGAGUACUUUAAUGUAUUUUUAUAAGGGGAAAAAAAGGGGGGGAGGGAGAGGAACAAACCCCACAGAAAAGCAAUGACACCAGAAAGAUCAGUUCUUAAUAGCUGCAUCAUAAAAAUUAAAGGUCAGACCUUUCCUACUCAUGGAAAAAGUUGUGCUUUACUGCUCUCAGCAACAAGUUCCUUCAAGUUUAUAGAUAUAAAUAGAGAUAGGUAGAUUAAAAAAUAAAUAAACUAUUACUGACUGCUUUGUUACCCCAGCACUGGCACUUUCCUGUUCUCAUGUUCAAAAAAAAUAGAUAUGCAAUUAUUCAAACAGAAGUGUGCAUGCUAGCUUUGAACACUUUGUUGUGAGUGGUGUUGGAGAAAGCUUAGCAACCCUUCAACCUGAAUUAGUGCAUUACAUUCCCCAAAUCUGACUAGUGGGUUCUUGAACCAGUUGGAGGUGUAUUUUGCACCAGUGCAGUAAAUUCUGGGUGUGAAUAAUCAUGAAAAUACUUCUAAUGUAGCACUUUGUACGAGGGGAGAGGGGAAAAAAUCUGCGAGUCAGCUUUCCUGUUAGCUCUGACCUAGCUGUAGUACUCGCUUUGCAGUUUCUCCUUCCAGUAACAGGAGUAAAAUGCUGCUACGUGCUCAGCUUGUCAGAGUGUAUCUUGUUAGUGGCUUCAGGGAUCUCCAGGGAGAAGUGGCCACGCUCUUCCUGAAUAAACUACAUCCAGACUUUGUUGUGCUUGUGGCUGCAGUUCGUAACUACAGCCCUGUGUGCUAUAAGAUGUGUGCAGAAACUAGUGACACAUCGGCUGGUCUGUUAUUAGCAGCGUAGUACCAAGAGAAGAAGUUUGAGUUCUCAACUGAUGGAACUGCUGCUUUCAUCCUAGAAGCUGAAGACUUGUGCAGCAGCUGCCGUUUCAGUGUGGCGGAGAGCUUUGGUUGCCAUCACCUGGAACCCAGUGAUCAGUCUGUCCUCCAAAACUUGAAGUAAGUGCUUGAGAUCAAGCAUGGGCUCAGUUAUUGCUCUGAGUGGUAACAUUACUUCACGUGGCUGCUGAAGGAGAAUAUUUCUACGUACAUUUUCACAGGCUAACUGGUAAUUUAAAUGCCAGGAGUAAAGGUGAAAGAUUAGAUCUAGAUGUCAUUCAUGUGUAAUCAAACUUUGUUUCAGCCUUCCAUAUAACUUGUUUGCACAAGCUAGGUACUAGAAAUGUAUCCUGUGUGUAUAUCCACGUGGCCAGUGCAUCAACCAUUUUAGCACAGUAAACCUAACAAGCACAGACUUAAAUAAAACUAAUUGGUUUCCAAAGUGUAUCUACUGCAUGCAGCUUUUUUUUUGCCUGGCUUCCAAUGUGUAGGCUUUAUUGUUGGUCUAAACAGUUUACCUGAGCAAUUUCUGAUCUUUCAAAGUGAGAAGAGACAUUUUCUAUGGUAUUGGAAGAGUUAUUCUCUGUAAAUAUAGUCAGUCACUAGUCUACAGAGCAAAUACGGUUUUAGUGUUCCUGAAAUAAACUCAAGUUGAAAAUUUAUUAAACUUGCAUGUGAAACUCUAGAUACUGCUAACACUAAUACUUCCUAACAGAAUCAAGUCUUGUUUAUAAAUAGUAGAGCUUGAGUAGCUUCCCAUCUAAAUCAAACAUCCAGGGUGAAACUUGAAUGCAAAAAUUGCUUUGGGGAGUUGUAGUUACAUAAUUUAAACUUUAACAAUUAAAUUAGGUUGCAUGCUGUGUUUGAAUAAUCUUACUGCAAUCUUCCAAAUAAGUUAAAUUUCUGGUAGAUUAUACUCCUCCUCAAGUAGUGAACUUCUGGUACCUGCUUGGGAGCAACUAUGGAUUCACUUCUUCAGCUUUUGGUGAAACCAAAUUGGGAGCAAACAUACACUGAAUGGAUGUCUGUUGCUCAUAUUGUUCGUAUCUAAGAUGUUGACUGAUGCUGAAGUUGGAGAGCUAAAAUCAGUUCUUUUUCUUUCCGUAAAGAGAAGUAACUCCAGCUGAAUUAUUUUCUCAAUAUCUGUGUUAGAAUAUUGAGGACAGUGUUGGUUUUUUGUUCUCAAAGUAAUUUUCAGAGUGAUUUGUCACAGCCAAUCUGAAGUAGGAGUCCUCCUUGCUCAUGCUACCUGUUGCCAGUUUAUAUCCUGACAGGCUUUUUUUCCUUCUGCAGAAGGACUCACUUAAGAAGUAUGAGAGGAAAUAAAACUUAAAAGCUGUGUUUUCACAUGCACAGGCUUUUUCUUGCCUUGUUUGGAUUUUUACUAAGACAUGUUUCCAUACUUGCAGAGGAAGAAAAUACUGUUCUAAUACUGAAGGUGAGUCCUCAGACAUGGUCUACCCACCCGCACAGGUGUCCCCCCCAAGCCUGUUGACUAAAUGGGGGGAUUUUCAGAUGCAGGGUGUCGAGCACCAUCACCCAGCUGGCUCAGGGCUAGGGCUGCACGCUCUUUCCUUGUCACUGUUCCAGAAAGCAAUGCGUAUGCCACUAUUAGUAUUCAGCCCAGCAGAAAGAAGCAAAACUACUUGUGCAAGCAGGGAUAUUCAGCAAAAGAAAGCCUGUGAGGGCAGUAGUUAUGCCCUUUCUUCUAGGGCUUUUACUUGUCCAAAUUAGUUUAAUCACUUCUGGUUAAUUUACUUUUCAGCCUCAGCUAACAAGAGUGCAGUUCGUCAGUAUUGAUUCUUUUCUAAAAGCAUUAAUGCCCUCAGUCUUUUGAAUUAAAUGUUAUUAGCUGUAAGUAGCCGCUGUUAGUGAGAAUCGCUUUGGCCAGUGAUUACCUUCUGAUUUUCCUCCUGCUUAGGCCUUUUUUCCAAAGCUACUCUUUCCUUUUGUGUAUUUUGCUUGAAGGAUAUUAUUAGUGGUAGUUAAUUUCCAAGUGGUGAGGGAAUUAGCUGACCAGCCAGCACUGUGUUAGCACAGUUAAGCUGUGAAUUAAUUGCAAGAUCACACUGUUUGCAGGAGGCUGGUACCUGCAGGGGUAAGCUUUCUCCUGUCAGGAGCUGCAGUUCUGCUAUGCAUGCUGCCACCCCAUUAGUUAAAACCAGCACAGUGUAAACAGAACUGCUGAAAUGAGCUGUGUUGUGUUGAGUUACAGAACUGUAAAGGAACAGAAUUUGUGACUUCUUGUGAGUAUAAUUAUUUUGGGUCAAUGAAAUGUGUCUUAUUAGUGUGGUAGUGGCCUCCUCCUUGCGAGCAGCAAAAUGGGUACAAACUGGUGUGAGAAUAGAAAGGAGCAUUUGGCUGGGUGAAAUGGUUGCUUGUUCAACUGACUUUCCUACUGGAAACAAAUCAAGCUAUGCUUUCAUCCAGCUUCCUGAGUCAGUAUUUCAGAUUUCUUCUAUUCCUGAUGUAUUGAGAAAUGGGCAUGGGGGAAAAAACGCUUCCUAAAGUGGUGAUCUUUUUAGUGUGGAAAUGCAUGGAAUGAGAGCUGAGACUGAGCUUUAUGUAAGCAUGCUGUUAAAAGUCACCUCGCACUUCCUCUGCUGCUGUUGGAACCUGUUAAUGUAGUCUCCUUCCUACCCCCAAACAAUGAACGCAGCGGAUUCCUGCUUUUUUGAAAGCUCUGCAAACAAAACUUUAAAAAGCUUCCUGGUGUUAAUUUAACCAUUGCUUUUGGUGUGUGUGUGUGUUCAGAAUGUAUUGGCUUCUGGGUGAACUCACUGUUAAGUUAACCUACCCUUAGGUAAUAAAAUGGUUUGGGUUGGAAGGGAUCUUAAGUAUGAGCUGAUUCCACCCUCCCAUGGGGACAUUAGCGAUCUGUUGCUGAAAGUGAAAGUUACUCUGAAUGCAUGCAGCUGGGGCUUGCAGGCUAUACAUGUUCUAUCAAAUGAUGUCUAUAUUUACACAACAAUAAACAAAACUUUUUUUCUGAA